CGGCGGACGGGUGAGUAACACGUGGGCAACCUGCCCUGCAGAUUGGGAUAACUCCGGGAAACCGGGGCUAAUACCGAAUAACAUUGAAAACCUCAUGGUUUUCUUUUAAAAGGCGGCUUCGGCUGUCACUGCAGGAUGGGCCCGCGGCGCAUUAGCUAGUUGGUGAGGUAACGGCUCACCAAGGCGACGAUGCGUAGCCGACCUGAGAGGGUGAUCGGCCACACUGGGACUGAGACACGGCCCAGACUCCUACGGGAGGCAGCAGUAGGGAAUCUUCCGCAAUGGACGAAAGUCUGACGGAGCAACGCCGCGUGAGUGAAGAAGGUUUUCGGAUCGUAAAACUCUGUUGUUAGGGAAGAACAAGUAUCGGAGUAACUGCCGGUACCUUGACGGUACCUGACCAGAAAGCCACGGCUAACUACGUGCCAGCAGCCGCGGUAAUACGUAGGUGGCAAGCGUUGUCCGGAAUUAUUGGGCGUAAAGCGCGCGCAGGCGGCCUUUUAAGUCUGAUGUGAAAGCCCCCGGCUCAACCGGGGAGGGUCAUUGGAAACUGGAAGGCUUGAGUGCAGAAGAGAAGAGCGGAAUUCCACGUGUAGCGGUGAAAUGCGUAGAGAUGUGGAGGAACACCAGUGGCGAAGGCGGCUCUUUGGUCUGUAACUGACGCUGAGGCGCGAAAGCGUGGGGAGCGAACAGGAUUAGAUACCCUGGUAGUCCACGCCGUAAACGAUGAGUGCUAAGUGUUGGGGGGUUUCCGCCCCUCAGUGCUGCAGCUAACGCAUUAAGCACUCCGCCUGGGGGAGUACGGCCCGCAAGGCUGAA
rnacentral:rRNA from 1 species